rnacentral:lncRNA from 1 species
AAGUGACAUAAACUGGCAUGUUCUGAAAGAAUCACUCUGGAUGCUGUGUGGAGAAAACACUGAAAAGCACCUGUUGUUUCCUGACUUUUUAAUGAUCGCCAUUCUAACUGGUGUGAGAUGAUAUCUCAUUGUGGUUUUGAUUUGCAUUUCUCUGAUGGCCAGUGAUGAUGAGCAUUUUUUCAUGUGUCUGUUGGCUGCAUAAAUGAAUAGACUAAGAUUUCAGUGAUUGAGUCUCAUGGCAUGUGAUAAAGAGUUAGUGAUAAAGAUUUAAAUGGCACAUAACAUCAUCCCAAUUGAAUGCAUCGGGGGGUCAUGAUGCUGUGUGGGUUUGAAAUGGAAAUUACAAGCGCAAUAUUACAGAAGUGUGGAUUUUAGUUACAAUGUCUCUAUGAGAAAGUCUAAAAGUUAAACAUAAGCAAAACAACAAAAACAUCUAAAUACCAGACACUAUCCUCAGAAAUUAGAUUUGAAAAAUGAGCUUCAUUUUCGAAGAACAUAUUGAAUUUGUUAUCUCGAUUAUGGAGGGCGACAAGUCCCACAGUCUGCCAUCUGCAGGAUGGAGAACCAGGGGGAGAAUAAUUGACUCCAUUCAAGUGUUCGCUCCUGUUUCAAUCAACUAUGGCUGAAGAGUGAGGAGACAUUUGGAAUAAAUAUGGCUUCUGGGGGCCCAUUCCUAUGGAUCAGCAGCUGGCUUCUGGAGGCCCAUUCCUGUGAAUCGUCGAUCUCAUAGAAGAUAAUAUUGUUAGAAGGCUUACCUCAUUGAUGCUGAACAUCCUAAAAAGCUUCUGCUGCUUUGAGUCACUGAAAAAGACCAAGAAACAUGAAUUUAAAAAAAAAUUUCAAAUGUUAUAAAAUAAAUAAUAUGAACUCAU